rnacentral:rRNA from 1 species
ACGGCGAGUGAAGCGGCAACAGCUCAAAUUUGAAAGCUGGCCUUCGGGUCCGCAUUGUAAUUUGUAGAGGAUGCUUUGGGUGAAACGCCAGUCUAAGUUCCUUGGAACAGGACGUCAUAGAGGGUGAGAAUCCCGUAUGUGACUGGAAAUGUUAACCUAUGUAAAGCUCCUUCGACGAGUCGAGUUGUUUGGGAAUGCAGCUCUAAAUGGGAGGUAAAUUUCUUCUAAAGCUAAAUAUUGGCGAGAGACCGAUAGCGCACAAGUAGAGUGAUCGAAAGAUGAAAAGCACUUUGGAAAGAGAGUUAAAAAGCACGUGAAAUUGUUGAAAGGGAAGCGCUUGCAAUCAGACUUGUUUAAACUGUUCGGCCGGUCUUCUGACCGGUUUACUCAGUUUGGACAGGCCAGCAUCAGUUUCGGCGGCCGGAUAAAGGCUCUGGGAAUGUGGCCUUCACUUCGGUGAAGGUGUUAUAGCCCAGGGUGUAAUACGGCCAGCCGGGACUGAGGUCCGCGCUUCGGCUAGGAUGCUGGCGUAAUGGUUGUAAGCGACCCGUCUUGAACCCCCG